GAGCAGUAGCAACGAAGAAGAUGAAUGUGAUUAAGGGUGCACUGCAGCAAAUGUGGCAUAGAAACAGGACGAGAUGUCUGAGAUGAACGAUUACCAUACGGCAGAGCACAGUGGAUGAUGUGCUGAGGGCCAAGUCUAUGGUUGACUUUGGCAAGAAACAGCACCGUACCCUAAACAUUACUGUUGAUCUUGCUUCCAUACACAUUGAUGCCCUUGAUGUAGUCAGCGAGAAUGGCCAUGAGGUAAACCCUAACUAUUUAAGUAUUCUAAAUUGAGUGUUGUUUCUUGUUACCUGUUAGGGAUAUGCAAAAAGGAUAGAAAUUUCUACAGCAAAGUCAAUUUACAAACAAACAGUUCAGUGUAAGAAUGUCACAGAAAAUACAGAUUUUCAACUUCCAAGUAAAUGGUGAUUAAUUGAUUAUGUAGCAUGCAAUCGUGUACAUUGGAACAUCCCAAGGAGUGUAUGGCGCUCGGGCGACAAUCAAUGUGUGGUCCCCUUUGAUCGAACACGUAAACGAGUUCAGUUUCGUACACAUCCAGUUCUCAAUUACUCAUUGACGCAAUCUCAUGGUUUUGCAGACUCAUGUGAGAACAAAAGGUGAUGAUCUACACGAAUGCAUAAAGAGUCUAGAGUGGUUGUUAAAGUAUAUAUGAGAGUAUCCUAGCAGAUAGAGAGAGGUAAUAAUUACUGAGGCUCAAGCAUUAGGGGUAGUAAUUCACUCUCAAGGUCCUUUGUUUGGAGGUGUUCAAAGAAAUAUGAAGUCUUCAAGUGACAAUGUCGUUGUUUGUUAGAGGUCUCUAGAUAGUUUGGUAUUUAUUUGUAUAUAUCU